rnacentral:rRNA from 1 species
UACGUAGGGACCAAGCGUUGUUCGGAUUUACUGGGCGUAAAGGGCGCGUAGGCGGCCUGCUAAGUCGAACGUGAAAUCCCCCGGGCUCAACCCGGGGAACUGCGUCCGAUACUGGCAGGCUUGAAUCCGGGAGAGGGAUGUGGAAUUCCAGGUGUAGCGGUGAAAUGCGUAGAUAUCUGGAGGAACACCGGUGGCGAAGGCGGCAUCCUGGACCGGCAUUGACGCUGAGGCGCGAAAGCCAGGGGGAGCAAACGGG